rnacentral:rRNA from 1 species
CAAGGAAUUUUCCCCAAUGGCCGAAAGGCUGAGGGAGCAACGCCGCGUGGGGGACGAAGGCCUUCGGGUUGUAAACCCCUUUUGCUGGGGAAGAUAAUGACGGUACCCAGCGAAUAAGCCCCGGCUAACUCCGUGCCAGCAGCCGCGGUAAGACGGAGGGGGCAAGCGUUGUCCGGACUCACUGGGCGUAAAGCGCACGUAGGCGGUUGGCUGCGUCGGUGCUGAAAGCGCCAGGCUUAACCUGGCGAGGCGUGCCGAUACGAGCCGACUAGAGGCAGGCAGAGGGUGGCGGAAUUCCGGGUGUAGUGGUGAAAUGCGUAGAGAUCCGGAGGAACGCCUGUGGCGCAAGCGGCCACCUGGGCCUGACCUGACGCUGAGGUGCGAAAGCGUGGGGAGCGAACCGG